rnacentral:rRNA from 1 species
UACGUAGGGUGCAAGCGUUGUCCGGAUUUAUUGGGCGUAAAGAGCUCGUAGGCGGCUCGUUGCGUCGGCUGUGAAAACCCGCAGCUUAACUGUGAGCGUGCUUCCGAUACGGGCAGACUUGAGGUAUUCAGGGGAGAACGGAAUUCCUGGUGUAGCGGUGAAAUGCGCAGAUAUCAGGAGGAACACCGGUGGCGAAGGCGGUUCUCUGGGAAUAUCCUGACGCUGAGGAGCGAAAGUGUGGGGAGCGAACAGG